CCUCAGAUGUUCCAGUAAGGACCCCCCUCCACUUGUAGCACAUCCGGAGCUCCAAGGAUACUACAAGAAGGGGAGUAAAGAUGGCCGCCAUUCCCCAGGAAGCCCCCCAAGGACAACAACCAGACUUCACGGCAUCACAGGAAGCUACAGUUUGAUAUAGAAGGUCCUUCCUGUUCAACAAGUGCAGACAGGGCAGACUGUGCAGAAUGUGCCGUCAAAAUAAACACAUUCAAAUUUGUCCCACCUGCAUGUGUUGCCCAGUAAAAUGGGUCAGAG